GACGAACGCUGGCGGCGUGCUUAACACAUGCAAGUCGAACGGUAAGGCCUUCGGGUACACGAGUGGCGAACGGGUGAGUAACACGUGGGUGAUCUGCCCUGCACUUUGGGAUAAGCCUGGGAAACUGGGUCUAAUACCGAAUAGGACCACGCGCUUCAUGGUGUGUGGUGGAAAGCUUUUGCGGUGUGGGAUGGGCCCGCGGCCUAUCAGCUUGUUGGUGGGGUAAUGGCCUACCAAGGCGACGACGGGUAGCCGGCCUGAGAGGGUGACCGGCCACACUGGGACUGAGAUACGGCCCAGACUCCUACGGGAGGCAGCAGUGGGGAAUAUUGCACAAUGGGCGCAAGCCUGAUGCAGCGACGCCGCGUGAGGGAUGACGGCCUUCGGGUUGUAAACCUCUUUCAGUAGGGACGAAGCGCAAGUGACGGUACCUAUAGAAGAAGGACCGGCCAACUACGUGCCAGCCGCCGCAGUAAAAC
rnacentral:rRNA from 1 species